UACGUAGGUCGCAAGCGUUGUCCGGAUUUACUGGGCGUAAAGAGCGCGCAGGCGGCUGGUCAAGUCCGAUGUGAAAUCUCCCGGCUCAACUGGGAAACUGCAUCGGAAACUGAUCGGCUUGAAGGUGGGAGAGGGUAGUGGAAUUCCCGGUGUAGUGGUGAAAUGCGUAGAGAUUUGGAGGAACACCAGUGGCGAAGGCGACUUUCUGGUCUGUAACUGACACUGAGGCGCGAAAGCGUGGGGAGCGAACAGG
rnacentral:rRNA from 1 species